AUGUUGGAAUCAGAGGUUUUUGUACGGCGCCUCAAUGAGUUUGUGUCACUGUGGUGGACUUUUGGUGGAGGAACCAGGCUGGAUGUUGGAAGUGAUACCCGUCCCGUCCUGACAGUGUUGCCCCCCUCCAGUGAGGAGCUACAGCAGGGGACUGCAACAAUCACAUGUCUGGCCAACAAGGGCUUCCCGUCAGACUGGAGGCUGUCCUGGAAGGUGGAUGGCAGUGGCAGCAUCAGCUGGGAGGAGAGCAGGAGCCCCGUGGUGCUGCAGAAUGAUGGCCUCUACAGCUGGAGCAGCACCCUGAGGCUCCCUGCAGACCGCUGGAUGAAGGUGGGCUCUGUGACCUGUGAGGCCACCCAGGGCUGCCAGACUCUGGUCUCAGAGCCACUGAGGAGAGUCCAGUGUUCCCAGUCCUGACCUGACUCAACCUGAUACUGGUUUAAUGCUCUCAUUCUCAACUCUGUAACUGUCUCUCCAUCUUUCUUU